rnacentral:rRNA from 1 species
CCUGGCUCAGAUUGAACGCUGGCGGCAUGCCUAACACAUGCAAGUCGAACGGCAGCAUGACCUAGCUUGCUAGGUUGAUGGCGAGUGGCGGACGGGUGAGUAACACGUAGGAAUAUACCUUAAAGAGGGGGAUAACUUGGGGAAACUCAAGCUAAUACCGCGUAAGUUCUGAGGAAGAAAGCUGGGGACCUUCGGGCCUGGCGCUUUAAGAUUAGCCU